CGCCACGCACCCAGUGUGAUACACGCCAUGAUGGGUUAAGCCCCAAGUAUUUUAAGCCUAGCCCCAAAUAUUUUACCCCAGAUGCCAAUCUUCAAAAAAAAAAACAAAAGUCAAACCCAAGGUAAACUCAACUUAGCCCCUGAACAUUUCAGUGGCUAGAAAUGCCCCUGAAUAGUAGUAGUAGUAGUGGUAGCUUUUGUGCAUUACAGUUCUACUUCUGCUUUCUCCUUAUGUUAUUUCUUUGCUGUAAUAUUAUAAAAUGAUUUGUCAUCAAUCUAGUACAUGGCUCCAUCUACAAGGAGAAGUCAUGUGCUCUCUGCCAAUAUUAAAGUAUUGGUUACAUCAGUAGGACAGUUAACAUAUCUGUGGGUAAUGGUAAUGAUCAAAAUCAUCAUCAUCACCAUUAUUAUUAUUAUUAUUAUUAUUAUUAUGCAAUAUCAAAUAACUACACGUCACCGCGAUUUCAAAGGAGAACUACAAAAUGCCGUUGUGAAUGCCAUUUGUCUGCUCCAGGAGCCCUGAAAUCAUGAUGUUACUUUCUAUCAAACACAAACUCCUACUCCUAGCUCCGUGGGUGUAGGAAGCUUUUUUUCUUCUCACGUCCUACUCUGAGGUAGGUCAAAGUCUAAUCCUAGUGCGAUUGUUAGGAGUGAUUCUAAGACGCUUUAUAAAUAAAGUUCACCAAUCUUUAGGCUGUAGGAGGAAAUCUUCACUGGACCAUCCAUUGAAAUCCAUACAGUUCAUUCUUGUAUAGUGCUCUUACGCUUAUGUAGUGCUGUUAUAUUUGCACAAUGCUCUUACUAUUAUAUAGUGCCGUUAUGCUUACACCAUGCUCUUACUCUUCUGUAGUGUUGUGUUUCUUACACAAUGCUCUUACUCUUCUGUAGUGUUGUGUUUCUUACACAAUGCUCUUACUCUAUUAUAGUGCUCUUCCCAAACAAAGCUGUCCCAAAACACUUAACAAAGAUCCUGGAGAGGAAACAGCAUCACACACAGUGUCACAAAUGUUGAAAUAAUCACAGCAUGCAGGAAGCAGGAGCUCAUAAGUACCACUCAGGGUGCAUUUCCACAUGAGGACGGUCAGACCGGCACUCACCAGGUGCCGGCGGGGUGUGCAGGCGCUGCCAGGCUCGCCGACCUCUCCCACCGGCCCCCCGCAGCCCCGGUUCCCGUCUCUGGAACUCCACGGAAUAGUGCCAAGCGGGGGCAGAGCCCGGGGGCAGGCGCCAGCAAAGGAAGAGUUGGUCAUAGGCCAGAGUGCGCUGGGUAUCAAUCACAGGCGCCAGAGGGGCUGAAACAACAGGAGUGAAAUCCAGGCUAGUGAGAAGCUGCAGCUCAUGGGUGAUGUCCAGUUGGAAGUGUCGCAGAAAAGGAUCGGCAGACACUGAGAAGCUUUGCAGAGACUCGAUUGCCUUCAUCAGCCUGUCAGAUGAGACACAGGCUGGGGGUGGAAAGAGAGGGAAUAUGGCCCACCUGCAGUGGGCGGGCAGGGCAGCCUGCAGGAAACAGGGG